rnacentral:misc_RNA from 1 species
UUAGUUGAGUUGAGUUGAGUAGGAUAUAUUCCUCAAGCUUGUUGCAAACUCAUUAGCUUCUUUUUCUAGAACAAGUUGUUCAACAUAUGUUUCUAAAACUGGUUCUUCAACAUGUGAGGACUUAAAAACAUUCCAAAUCAGAUUCUUCAAGCUCAACUUCUUCAAUUUUAGCUUCCACUUGUUCUUCUUGUUCUUCAUCUUCAAGUUGCUUUUCGAGUUCAAGCUGCUCAUUUUGUUCUUGCCUUACACCUUUAACAACUCUUGAUAACUCAUCAAGCUCUGCUUUCAGGUCAACUUUUGGUAACUCAUCAAACUCUACUUUCAUUUGAACAAUGGCAUCAAGCUAUGACUUCAAUUGAAACAGUCAUUUCUCCUUAUAAUCUUCCAAUUCUCUUUCUCCAACUCAUAAAAUUUGUUGGUAAUAUAAAUCAUUAUAGACGUUAGGAAAACUAACAUAUUUAUUCAUCCAAUGAUAUAGAUCAGCUAAUUGUGCCUCAUAGUAAUCAAUUUCAUCUUGUAGUCUCUUGAUGUAUGUCCAAAACAUGAAAUUUCAAUUAGAGAAAUGUACCUCACUGAAAACACAAUUGUCAGCCUUUAGGAGUUUUUUCUGCAAAAAAUGGAUGUCAUAAUCAGAAUCAACAACUCAAAAUUAGUAGGAAAGGGUCUUGUCAACUUUUGCUGACACGGCAUUGUCCAUUGAUGUGACAGAAAGGUAGCACUGGAGUAGCAAUGAGGUGAUGUGACAUAGUGUUGAGCUAGCCGAUGAAGUGGUUGCUCAGUGGCUGAGGUGUGAACAAAGCGGGAAUAGGUGUUCACAUGCUCAUGGUAGCUAGUGUAAGCUCGUUUGCCAGAAACAUCAAAUCCGAAACCCGAACUGGCGAGAUCUUGCAGCAGAGACUUUGGAUGGAAGUUCCGAUAAUUGAGGCGAGGUUGCCAAAGUGCAACGAGUCUCCAAGAAGUGUCACAACGCCAAAAUGAAGCCGAAAGACAAUUUGGCUCCAACCUGACCCAGAUUGAACUUGAGCUCUAAGCAGCUUCAAACUUUCGAAUUGCUUUGUGGAGGGUCAUCAGAUGUCAAGGAAGGGAUUCCCGGUGGUUUUGUGGCUCUUUGGUGAUUGGCAACAGUGCCUUUAAAAGGGAAGGUUAGGUUUCGCUGUUAACAUGUUUUUUAAGGGAGAAAUAGAGCCUUGCUCUGUUUUGCAAUGAAGCCAACAGCAAACACAAGGCAGACUAGCGAGGUACAGACCUGCGAAGGGAAAGACAAUGGGUGUUGAGGUCGGAUGGAGAUGCAAGGUGAAGGGGAGCGAUGGUGCUACUUUAUUCUAUGUUUGUGAUGGCUAGGAUCUUUAAAUGAGCCGAUUCAGGUGAAAUUGUGCCAAAUGGGUCAUGUCAUAUUAACACAAUUUAAUAUUAAUCUUGUUGUAUUGUAUAACCCAUUUAAUAAAAGGGUUGGGUUAGUAUCAGUGUUGUAAAAGGUGCAAAAAGGCGCCAGCCUCGCGCCUGAGACCUUCGAGGCGAAAGGCAAUGGGUCGAAGAGGUGAUGCCUCUUCGAAGUAAUGGAAACUUUCUCCUUUUUUUUAUAAAUUUUGUUUUAAAAGCAUAAAACAAAAGAAAACUCUAAAGCUGCUCCACUUUACGCCCCCUGCAGAGAGCAGAACGUAAAGAGAAACAAGACAACUAGGUAUUUCUUCCUUCCUUUCUCUUCCUCUCUCAUCUCCACAUUCUUUCCUCCCUUGCUCCUCUACUCUUCUACUAUUUUCUUCUCCUUUCACCUAAGUUGCGCAACAUACAAGCAUGUCCAGCACCUACUGUGAU